GGGGCGGCGGCGGCUGGGCGGCUGGGCUGCGAUGCCGGGGCCCGGGGCGCGGGCCGAGGAGGAGGAGCGGGAGGGCGCGGCGGCGGGGCCGGCGCGGCUGUGCGGCUACCUGCAGAAGCUGUCGGGCAAGGGCCCGCUGCGCGGCUACCGCAGCCGCUGGUUCGUGUUCGACGCGCGCCGCUGCUACCUCUAUUACUUCAAGAGCCCGCAGGACGCGCUGCCCCUCGGCCACCUAGACAUCGCGGACGCCUGCUUCAGCUACCAAGGCCCCGACGACGCGGCCGAACCCGGCGCCGAGCCGCCCGCGCACUUCCAGGUGCACAGCGCGGGCGCCGUCACGGUGCUCAAGGCUCCUAACCGCCAGCUCAUGGCCUACUGGCUACAGGAGCUCCAGCAGAAGAGGUGGGAGUAUUGCAACGGCCUGGACGCCGCCACAUGGGACAGCAGGGCCUCCCCGGCCCCGGGGGACUUCUCGCAGGGUCUGGUAGCCAGAGACAACUCAGAUGUAAUUUACCCGCACCCAGAUGCCUCUGCAGAAAAAGCCAGAAAUGUCCUCGCUGUGGAAACCGCCCCCGGAGAGCUGGAGCAAGCAGCUCACCAGCCAGCCGCAGGGCACCCCAAUUCCAGUAAUUUCUCUUUCAAACAGUGGGGCACUGAGCUCAAAAAUUCAAUGUCAUCUUUCCGUCCUGGGAGAGGACACGGUGAGAGUCGCAAGAGUGUGUUUUAUACCAAUGAAGAGUGGGAGCUUUUAGACCCGAACCCUAAGGACCUGGAGGAGUCAAUGGUGCAGGAAGAGAGGAGGAAGCAGGCGCCCGAAGGAAACAAAGGAGGAACCAGCUCAGGAUUUCCCUUUGAUUUUGGACGUAUUCCCUACAAAGGAAAGCGCCCUUUGAGAGACAUGAUCGGGUCCUACAAGAACCGUCACGUCAGUGGCGACCCUUCCGCCGAGGGGCCGCAGAGCAGUGGCGGCGUCAGCAAGCCGGCCCCCGAAACACAGUUGCAGAGCCAGCAGGAGGAGCUGGAGCGGCUGAAGAAAGACCUGUCCAGUCAGAAGGAGCUUGUGCGGCUGCUGCAGCAGACGGUCCGGUCGUCCCAGUAUGACAAAUACUUCGCCAGCAGCCGGCUCUCCGAGGGGGUCCCGAAGGACGCGCUCGACCUUCUGCACCGCAAGGAUGACCAGAUCCUGGGCCUCAGCGGCCAGCUGGAGAGGCUCACCCUGGAGAGGGAGAGUCUGCAGCAGGAAGUGAGGACGCUCAAGGGCAAGGUGGGCGAGCUCAGCGAGCAGCUGGGGAUGCUGGUGGAGACCAUCCAGGCCAAGGACGAGGUCAUCAUGAAGCUCUCGCGCCAGCUCAGCGAGAGCGAGGACAGUACGUCAUCCCCCACGGGGGUGCCCGGCUCCCCCGCCAGCAGGGAGCAGCUGGAGCUGGACAGGCUGAAAGACAGCCUCCAGGGGUAUAAAACCCAGAAUAAGUUUCUCAACAAGGAAAUUCUGGAGCUCUCGGCGCUGCGGAGAAACGCAGAAAGGAGGGAGCGGGAUCUGAUGGCCAAGUAUUCCAGCCUGGAAGCCAAGCUCUGCCAGAUAGAAAGCAAAUACCUGAUUCUGCUGCAAGAAAUGAAGACGCCCGUGUGCUCGGAAGAGCAGGGGCCCUCCCGCGAGGUCAUAGCCCAGCUGCUGGAGGACGCUCUGCAGGUGGAGGGCCCGGAGCAGCCGGAGCAGGCAUUCGUGAAGCCUCGUCUCGUCAGCGAGUACGACAUCUACGGGUUCAGGACCGUCCCAGAGGACGACGAGGAGGAGAGGCUGGUGGCCAAGGUCCGCGCGCUGGACCUGAAGACGCUGCACCUCACGGAAAACCAGGAGGUGUCCGCCGGCGUCAAGUGGGAGAACUACUUUGCGAGCACGAUGAACAGGGAGAUGGCACGCUCUCCGGAGCUGAAGAACCUGAUCCGGGCGGGCAUCCCGCACGAGCACCGUUCCAAGGUGUGGAAGUGGUGCGUGGACCUCCACACCCGGAAGUUCAAGGGCAGCACCGAGCCCGGCUACUUCCAGGCGCUGCUCCAGAAGGCGCUGGAGAAGCAGAACCCGGCCUCCAAGCAGAUCGAGCUCGACCUGCUGCGGACCCUGCCCAACAACAAGCACUACUGCUGCCCCACCUCGGACGGCAUACAGAAGCUCCGCCGCGUCCUGCUGGCCUUCUCCUGGCGGAACCCCGACAUCGGCUACUGCCAGGGUCUGAACAGGUUGGUGGCGGUGGCCCUCCUGUACCUGGAGCAAGAAGACGCGUUCUGGUGUCUGGUCACCAUAGUGGAAGUUUUCAUGCCUCGAGACUAUUACACCAAGACGCUGCUGGGGUCCCAGGUGGACCAGCGGGUGUUCAGAGACCUCCUGAGCGAGAAGCUACCCCGUCUGCACAGCCACCUGGAACAGCACAAAGUCGACUACACCCUCAUCACGUUCAACUGGUUUCUGGUGGUGUUUGUGGACAGCGUCGUGAGUGACGUCCUCUUUAAGAUCUGGGACUCCUUCCUCUAUGAGGGACCAAAGGUCAUUUUCCGCUUUGCCCUGGCUCUUUUUAAAUACAAGGAGGAGGAGAUCCUGAGGUUGCAGGACUCCAUGUCCAUUUUCAAGUAUCUCCGUCACUUCACGCGCACUGUCCUCGACGCCAGGAAACUGAUCGGUAUCUCCUUUGGGGACCUCAACCCGUUCCCCCUGCGCCAGAUCCGGAACCGGCGCGCCUACCACCUGGAGAAGGUCCGGCUGGAGCUGACGGAGCUGGAGGCCAUCCGGGAGGACUUCCUGCGUGAACGGGAUGCCAGCCCUGAUAAGGGUGAGCUGGUCAGCGAUGAGGAGGACACCUGAGUCCCCCGUCCCUACCCCCCCACGAUGCUGCUCUUGCCUUCACAACCAAAGUGUGCCAAAGGGUGACCGCAGAGACGUCUCUGCUCCUUUAAAAGCCCAAAUGUAACGCCCGUGGUCUCUGGAGAUCUGCCGGGCAGACAUCCGGGGCCACACCGCACUUUCUCCUUUCCACUCGCGGUGGGGUUUGUCCUGUUUACAACUGUCUUCCGUGCCGUGGCACGUGGCUGCGCCUGUCCCCGGCUCGCGUGGUCUGUGCGCCCCCAGGUGAACUGGCUGGAUGUUUUCCAGGCCCUGUUUACUUCACGUGUCAGCUGGGUUGGUCAUUGGCUCGCGCCCUCGGGACCCCGUCCCAGGCGCCUCCCUGUCUCGCUCCUCCUGCACCCGGUGAGGCUGAGGGCCUCCGCCGAGCAGCCACACUGUGCUUCGUGCACUCCCGGGCCACAGUGUGGCUGCUCCGGGGGCACGAGGGUAGUGAAAAGGGGCCUUUCCUAGAAAAGCAAGUGCGUCCCACGCUCAGAAGCGGCCUGUAGAAAACCCACACACCUUCCCUGCGGGCAAGCGGCCUCGCCUCAACUCUGGAACAGCACUGGCCCUUCCGUGCACAGCGUUUCAAGCAGCGAAGGGCCUGGCUUUCCAGACAGCCCACACUCCCUCCUGGGCACCAGCUGGGCUCGCCUGCCCUCAGCCUGCCCUCUGCCUGGCGCAGAUCUCUGUGAAAUCCUUCUUUUUGGCUGGCUCCGAGUCACCGUCUGUGGAGGGAGCCGUCCCGCAAAGCAGGCCCUGCCCUGGGGCCUCGGUAGAGGGGACAGAGCAGGGCCGUGGUGCAGGUUCCGGGUGACAGUCGAGGUCUCCUCCGCCUGCUGGUGUGGGGGGAGGCGGCUGCCGGGGCUUGGGGCACGGCUCGGGUCCCCUCCCCAGUGCUGCCCACGGGCAUCCGCUCUGGCAGCGUCCUUGUUCAUCCCCGAGGCCGUGGGGGUCACACCGCCCAGGCAGCUCCGGAGACGGAGCGCUAGCUGUUUGAAGCCCCGGAGAGAGGCUUUGCCCAAGGAAGUGGACUUCUGCUUUAUCACAGCGAGGACCGUCCCUGAUGCGGACGUGUGACACUGUUUCCUGGCACAGUAUUGCUCAAAUAGGAAAGAAAUGACUUCAAGUGGGAUAUUUACACUACCUGGAGAAGUUGGAAACAGCCCUUAGUUGACGUGUUCGAUGCAGCCUGAGUGCUGAACCGAUGGAAUUUGAAGCGCUUUUUUCCCAAGUAGGGAUGUCCUGUCACCAGCGUUGAGCAGGGUCCAAGCCGGGUCCGCAUCUCCACAGACUGAGUUUCCGUCCGUAGGUUGGUUGACUUGAUUUUCGGGUAUCAGACACGUUGCACCGUUGUUCGUUUCCUGGGGGUGGCUGGUGGCGUCCUCACUGCCAUUCGAGGACCCCCUGCCCUGGCCCCCACGCAGCUGCCGGCCUGGGGACAGCGGUGAGGAUGUGCGGCCGGAUCAGACCGUAGUUUCCGGAUCGAUUUCCCGGAGGUGACGGUGCUGCUGGUUUUGUCCGUCUUGCCCCAGAAAGAUGCAUCUUAAAGACUGGAUCGGGCCCAGGUUCCCACUGUACGUGGCUGGAGUCGUGGUUUCAGGGAGCGGCUGGCUGGGCUGUGCCGCUGCCUCCAGGCAGUCCGUCGACCACGGAAGUUGG